CGAUCGGAGUAGCAAUACUGCCGGCGACCGGCGCAAGGUGCGUAACGCGUGAGCAACAUGCCCGUAUCAGGGGGGAUAAUCCAUGGAAACGUGGUCUAAUACCCCAUAGUAAUUAUGUAAGGCAUCUUAUAUAAUUUAAAGCUUUGGUGGAUACGGAUUGGCUCGCGUGACAUUAGCUAGAUGGUAAGGUAACGGCUUACCAUGGCUACGAUGUCUAGGGGUUCUGAGAGGAAGGUCCCCCACACUGGAACUGAGACACGGUCCAGACUCCUACGGGAGGCAGCAGUGAGGAAUAUUGGACAAUGGAUGGAAAUCUGAUCCAGCCAUGCCGCGUGCAAGGAAGACGGCCCUAUGGGUUGUAAACUGCUUUUGUAUGGGAGCAAUAAGGGCUACGUGUAGUCCGAUGAGAGUACCAUACGAAUAAGCACCGGCUAACUCCGUGCCAGCCGCCGC
rnacentral:rRNA from 1 species